CUGGACAGCAGCAAGGUUGU
rnacentral:misc_RNA from 1 species